UACGUAGGGACCGAGCGUUGUCCGGAUUCAUUGGGCGUAAAGAGCUCGUAGGCGGCCACUCAAGUCGAAUGUGAAACCUCGAGGCUUAACCUCGAGCCUGCAUUCGAUACUGGGCGGCUAGAGUCUGGUAGGGGGAUCUGGAAUUCCUGGUGUAGCGGUGGAAUGCGCAGAUAUCAGGAGGAACACCGAUGGCGAAGGCAGGUCUCUGGGCCACUACUGACGCUGAGAAGCGAAAGCAUGGGGAGCGAACAGG
rnacentral:rRNA from 1 species